UUCAAAAAUCCGAAAAAUCGGGGUGAGAAGAAUCUAAGGUAAGAAUCAACCGAUUCUCGUGAUUCUUUUUUUGUUGUGGAAGGAAUAGAUAGGAGUUCUAGAUAGAGUACAAAGAAGUUCGAUAUCCCUCACGUCACGGCGCCGGUACUGGCCCAAAAAAAUAUUUCGAAAAUACGAAAAACGUUCCCAUUUGUCAGUCAGAUUUUUAAGCAAGGGUGGAAUUACGGCUGCAGUUAUCUAUGUAGAAAAGACUCUUUUCUACGUAGAAAAGAUUCUUUUCUAUAUA